AGAUGGCAAAGGUUAAAAGGAUACUGAUGGCAAAGUGGAGAUACAUUCUCCAGGAUGCUUUCCCAUUAUCACUUCCAAUGUUACUAUGCCAAAACUAUAAACAUCACAUUUUUCAGUUACCCUCAUUGUGUAAGCAAGCUCUG